UUUUUGCAGAUUCUUCAAUACUCAUCAGAACUAAAAUAGCCAUUGAUGUCGUACUGAAUAGGAGUAUUUGCUCCAGUAAAAAUAUAGAUAGAAGAGGAAAGUGAUAUAAGUACUUCACUUCUUGGAGUCUGCAGCUCUAGAGCGUUCAUUCAUUCAUACGCCAAUUGUGCCUUGGAUACCACAUAAUUGAAUAUAGAUUGGGAGAGGUGCUAUCAAAACAUCAUCACAUUCUUCAUGAAAGAGAAAAACGAAAAAAAAAAAACUGUGAGAGAACUUCUGGGCACUGUCAGUGAAGGAAAUUUCAGUGAAAAUGGACGAGAUGCUUCAAUUGUUUGGAGAUUACUUGCUUAUUUGUUGCCUACGAUGGAUGCCAUUACUGGACAAAACACAACCAAAUAUAGAAUUGAAGAUUCUCAGGGAUCAUUCCUGUUUAUUGGAAGGUAGAUUCAGGAAGUGGAAGAUCAUAUAGAAUAUUGGAAAAAACAAAAUGAACAACCCCAUACAGCCAUUUAAAAAAGGCAUUGCAUCGGAGAUGAUAUCAAAUUUAUCAAAUUGUUUGUAUAUUUUGAUGAUAGAAGAUUCGAAUUCCAUUCCAGUUUUUUUUAGAGUGGUUGAUAUUUGCUUCAAAAUUAUAUAUUUUACCUAGAUUUUUCUAGAGAAUCCUUAAUGGUUUGGUCUUAUUUUCACAAGCUCCAAACCUCUUUAACAUUUUCUAGUGUGUAUAUUUUAUGAGAG